AGGUGCUUGGUUUAGAUUGAUUGCCACUACCAGAAACAAGUAUGUCCGUACCAUGACUGACCUGUACACCAAGUGGGUGAUUUCAGAACCCAUGCAGUCUAAGACAGCAGCUGAAGCUGAGACAAUGCAUAAUUUUAAACCUGGCAGCUUUCACAAGGAUGUAAACGAUCUGCCUUUAAUUUCAGAUUGGAAAUGCUUGCCUCAAGAUUGUAGAAGCUGCACGACAACAUUUACUGUGUACUAUUGUGGCCCGGUUUCACAGACAAGGCUUAGUUUACGCUAGGACUAGGCCUUAGUUAAUUAUCUGCAUGAUGAUGUAUGCACCUGCACAUCGUGUCCAUUCACAGAGACACCCGAUGGUAGUCUACACCAUUGCAGUCUAUCUGUCCUUCAGGUUUUCUUCCCACCUUUUCGAUUUCAACAUGGCAGCGGAGUGAAAUCUAUUGCAUGUA